rnacentral:rRNA from 1 species
GACGAACGCUGGCGGCGUGCUUAACACAUGCAAGUCGAGCGGUAAGGCCCUUUCGGGGUACGACGAGCGGCGAACGGGUGAGUAACACGUGGGUGACCUGCCCUCCAGCUCUGGGAGUAAGCCUGGGAAACGUGGGUCUAAUACUGGAUAUGACUCCACGGUGCAUGUCGUGGGGUGGAAAGCCUUGUGCGGCUGAGGAUGGGCCCGGCGGCCUAUCAGCUUGUU